CGGGGCGUGGCGCAGUUUGGUAGCGCACGGCGUUUGGGACGCCGGGGUCGGAGGUUCGAGUCCUCUCGCCCCGA
rnacentral:tRNA from 1 species